GAUGAACGCUGGCGGCGUGCCUAAUACAUGCAAGUCGAGCGAACAGACGAGGAGCUUGCUCCUUCGACGUUAGCGGCGGACGGGUGAGUAACACGUAGGUAACCUACCUAUAAGACUGGGAUAACUUCGGGAAACCGGAGCUAAUACCGGAUAAUAUUUCGAACCGCAUGGUUCGAUAGUGAAAGAUGGCUUUGCUAUCACUUAUAGAUGGACCUGCGCCGUAUUAGCUAGUUGGUAAGGUAACGGCUUACCAAGGCAACGAUACGUAGCCGACCUGAGAGGGUGAUCGGCCACACUGGAACUGAGACACGGUCCAGACUCCUACGGGAGGCAGCAGUAGGGAAUCUUCCGCAAUGGGCGAAAGCCUGACGGAGCAACGCCGCGUGAGUGAUGAAGGUCUUCGGAUCGUAAAACUCUGUUAUUAGGGAAGAACAAACAUGUAAGUAACUGUGCACGUCUUGACGGUACCUAAUCAGAAAGCCACGGCUAACUACGUG
rnacentral:rRNA from 1 species